rnacentral:rRNA from 1 species
GACGAACGCUGGCGGCGUGCUUAACACAUGCAAGUCGAACGGUGAUGCUCCAGCUUGCUGGAGUGGAUCAGUGGCGAACGGGUGAGUAACACGUGAGCGACCUGCCCCAGACUCUGGAAUAAGCGCUGGAAACGGCGUCUAAUACUGGAUACGAAACUGGCCAGCAUGGGCAUGGUUUGGAAAGUUUUUCGGUUUGGGAUGGGCUCGCGGCCUAUCAGCUUGUUGGUGAGGUAAUGGCUCACCAAGGCGACGACGGGUAGCCGGCCUGAGAGGGCGACCGGCCACACUGGGACUGAGCCACGGCCCAGACUCCUACGGGAGGCAGCAGUGGGGAAUAUUGCACAAUGGGCGAAAGCCUGAUGCAGCGACGCCGCGUGCGGGAUGACGGCCUUCGGGUUGUAAACCUCUUUCAGCAGGGAAGAAGCGAAAGUGACGGUACCUGCAGAAGAAGCACCGGCUAACUACGUG